AACGUAGGUGGCGAGCGUUAUCCGGAUUUACUGGGCGGUAAAGGGUGUGCAGGCUGCCCCUCAAGUGGUGUAUGAAAGGCACCCGGACUCAACCGGGUCAUGGUAUGCCAGACUGAAGGGCUAGGAGAGCGGAGAGCGGGACGUGGAAUUCCGGGUGUAGUGGUGAAAUGCGUAGAGAUCCGGAGGAACACCAGUGGCGGUAGG
rnacentral:rRNA from 1 species